GAUGAACGCUGGCGGCGUGCUUAACACAUGCAAGUCGAACGAUGAACCUCACUUGUGGGGGGAUUAGUGGCGAACGGGUGAGUAACACGUGAGUAACCUGCCCUUAACUCUGGGAUAAGCCUGGGAAACUGGGUCUAAUACCGGAUAUGACUCCUCAUCGCAUGGUGGGGGGUGGAAAGCUUUUUGUGGUUUUGGAUGGACUCGCGGCCUAUCAGCUUGUUGGUGAGGUAAUGGCUUACCAAGGCGACGACGGGUAGCCGGCCUGAGAGGGUGACCGGCCACACUGGGACUGAGACACGGCCCAGACUCCUACGGGAGGCAGCAGUGGGGAAUAUUGCACAAUGGGCGCAAGCCUGAUGCAGCGACGCCGCGUGAGGGAUGACGGCCUUCGGGUUGUAAACCUCUUUCAGUAGGGAAGAAGCGAAAGUGACGGUACCUGCAGAAGAAGCGCCGGCUAACUACGUGCCAGCAGCCGCGGUAAUACGUAGGGCGCAAGCGUUAUCCGGAAUUAUUGGGCGUAAAGAGCUCGUAGGCGGUUUGUCGCGUCUGCCGUGAAAGUCCGGGGCUCAACUCCGGAUCUGCGGUGGGUACGGGCAGACUAGAGUGAU
rnacentral:rRNA from 1 species